UACGAGGGGGGCGAGCGUUGUUCGGAAUUAUUGGGCGUAAAGGGUGCGUAGGCGGUUUGGUAAGUCUUAUGUGAAAUCUAUGGGCUCAACUCAUAGACUGCAUGAGAAACUGCCGGGCUUGAGUAUGGGAGAGGUGAGUGGAAUUCCUGGUGUAGCGGUGAAAUGCGUAGAUAUCAGGAAGAACACCCGUGGCGAAGGCGGUUCUCUGGGACGGUACUGACGCUGAGACGCGAAAGCGUGGGGAGCGAACAGG
rnacentral:rRNA from 1 species